rnacentral:lncRNA from 1 species
GUUUGGGGUUCUGGGCGUGUGAUCGGGAGCAGGAACCAAGGGAAGAGCCAAAACCCUAAUGACCAAAAUUCAUCAAAUUGAAAAGGAGAUCAAGGGAUCGAAUCUGUUUUGAUACUCUUUAAUCUAAGUGUGAGAUUGAUCAUAGGAGUCAUGUCAACAUGAGCACAAAUAAGGAAGUGCCACGGGUAGAAGGUAAGCACGGAAGCUAAGUGCAAAUUCGGACGCACGAGGAGUCAUGUCAACAUGAGCACAAAUAAGGAAGUGCCACGGAUAGAAGGUAAACACGGAAGCUAAGUGCAAAUUCGGACGCACGAGGUAAGUAAUUUCCCGGACUCCCUCUUUAGUAGUAAAGAGAUUAGUUGCAUGAUAAAUGUUAGAAGUUGUGUUGAAACGUGAAAUUGAUGAUGAUAUCAAGUAUUAGUAUUAAGUGAGUGAUUUUCCGGAAUCACUUCUUAGUUUAUUAAAGUAAGGUUAUGUGCUAGUUAUUGAAGUAUGGGUUUGGAGUUUAGGAAGGUUUGAGUAUGUAGAAGUGAAGGUUUCCGCUAAGUCGACCAAACGGGUCAAAAUAAGAGUUAACUCAUUACGGUAUGAUUUGCAUUAGUUAUGACGAAGGUAUUAUAAUCGGGUCAUGGAUAUAAUUUCUUACAAGUGCGCUAACCGAGAAACGGGGACAUGGGUUAAUGGUCAAAAGGCUUAGUCUUGAGUUUAAACAAAAGAGUUGUUUGAUAAAAACAUGAAUGGGUCGAAUAAUUGGUAAAUGAUAUUAUGCCAAAAGCAUAUAAGUUAAGAACUUCCUUAGUUCGGAUGUUAGAUUUUGAGUCCACUUGAUAGAGGACCAAAAUAUGAUCAUGUAGGAAGAAACGGGAGGUUAAACGGGUGAACGGUUUGAAAGUUACGGCCGUUUUCGUAAAAAGGACAAAGUUGGAAAAGCUGCAGAGCAGCCAAAUCGUAAGCUACGGCUCAGCUGUAGGCUACAGAACGUAGCUGCUGUUUGGAUCAGAACAGCCAAAUCGUAAGCUACGGCUCAGUUGUAGGCUACGAAACGUAGCUGCUGUUUGGACCAGAACAACUGAAUUGUAAGCUACGGCUGAGCCGUAGCUUACGACGGGCAGCUUUUGCAAAAUGUUGAUUGUUUUGUUAUUUGGCCUUCGGGCAUAAAUAGAUACGUUAUAAACUCCCCAUAACUAACGUUUUUGGAUUAUAAACGUGUCUGGGAGCGAGUAAGUAUGUAUGUUAAUAUGUAUAACACCUAUUUUAUGAGAGUUAUGAAUAUGACAUGUUAGUAUAAGUUUAUGUGCAUAAGAGAAAUAAACAAGUACUCGUAGGCAUGUAUGCGUGUAUGAAUGAAGCAUGUAUAUAGGUGUAUAUUAUUGCGUAAACGUAGGUAUGAAGGUAAGUAUGUAUGAAUGCAAGAUGCUAUGAAUGUAAGAUGCUAUGUAUGUAUGUAGGAAUGGUUUCAAGAUGUCUGGGUAUUGACGAUUACUAAUGAUGUGCUUUGAGUUUGGAAUGAAAUGCAGGUAUGAAAUCGUCGGGUUCAUGAGGAAUUGAAGCCGGACUUGGAUUAAGAGUAUUUAAGAGAAUGCUUGGAUAAUUCCAUGCUUACAUUAUGGAAUGCUAUGCGAAAUUCAAUUAUAUAGUAUAAUGUUGUAUAGUGAGAUAAUGACUAAUGGUUAAGUCGUAUAUGAUGUCCACAGGUAUCACACGGAUUUCCUCUACCACUAACGAAGAUAAGCGGGCGUAGAUCGAGUCAAAGAACAAGGAUUGUACGGAUAGGACGGCCACCUAGCUUGAAUUAUGUAACGCGCCUUGAAGUAUUAAUUUAAGUAUGAACGUUGAAAGAUGAUGCUUUUGAAGAAAAAAGUUUAGGGUGGACUUAGAAACACACCUUAGUAAUAAACAUUGUUGAAUUUUGUUUCAUGUUUGAUACAGUUUGAUCAUGUUUGGUUUUGUUUGAACAUUGUAUGACAUUUAGCAAUUUACGAAAUUUGGAUUAUUAACUAUUGCCACAAUU